rnacentral:rRNA from 1 species
GGAGUUAGCCGGUGCUUCUUCUGUGAGUGAUGUCCUUCCUGCCGGCUAUUAACCCGCAGGCCUUCUUCCUCACUGAAAGUGCUUUACAACCCGAAGGCCUUCUUCACACACGCGGCAUGGCUGGAUCAGGGUUGCCCCCAUUGUCCAAUAUUCCCCACUGCUGCCUCCCGUAGGAGUCUGGGCCGUGUCUCAGUCCCAGUGUGGCUGAUCAUCCUCUCAGACCAGCUACGGAUCGUCGCCUUGGUGAGCCGUUACCUCACCAACCAGCUAAUCCGACAUAGGCUCAUCCGAUAGCGCGAGGCCCGAAGGUCCCCCGCUUUCCCCCGUAGGGCGUAUGCGGUAUUAGCCUGGGUUUCCCCAGGUUAUCCCCCACUACCGGGCAGAUUCCUAUGCAUUACUCACCCGUCCGACGCUCGCCACCAGGGAGCAAGCUCCCCGUGCUGCCGCUCGACUUGCAUGUGUUAGGCCUGCCGCCAGCGUUCAAUCUGAGCCAGAAUCAAACUCUGA